GAACGCGCAGCAUCGUGUAGCAAUACACGGUGUGGGCGCGUGGCGAACGGGUGCGUAACACGUGGAUAACCUUCCUUCAGGUGGGGAAUAACCCCGCGAAAGCGGGGCUAAUACCGCAUAACAUCGCGAUGGCACAUGCUGUUGCGUUCAAAGGCGCAAGUCGCCAGAAGAGGGAUCCGCGGCCGAUUAGCUUGUUGGCGGGGUAACGGCCCACCAAGGCUCUGAUCGGUAGCCGGACUGAGAGGUUGGCCGGCCACACUGGAACUGAGACACGGUCCAGACUCCUACGGGAGGCAGCAGUGGGGAAUCUUGCACAAUGGACGAAAGUCUGAUGCAGCAACGCCGCGUGGGGGAUGAAGCUUCUCGGAGUGUAAACCCCUUUCGACCCGGACGAAUGCCCGCAAGGGCUUGACGGUACGGGUAUAAGAAGCCCCGGCUAACUACGUG
rnacentral:rRNA from 1 species